rnacentral:rRNA from 1 species
AGCGAACGCUGGCGGCAAGCCUAACACAUGCAAGUCGAACGAACCUUUCGGGGUUAGUGGCGGACGGGUGAGUAACACGUGGGAACGUGCCUUUAGGUUCGGAAUAACUCAGGGAAACUUGUGCUAAUACCGAAUGUGCCCUUCGGGGGAAAGAUUAAUCGCCUUUAGAGCGGCCCGCGUCUGAUUAGCUAGUUGGUUGAGGUAAUGGCUCACCAAGGCGACGAUCAGUAGCUGGUCUGAGAGGAUGAUCAGCCACAUUGGGACUGAGACACGGCCCAAACUCCUACGGGAGGCAGCAGUGGGGAAUCUUGCGCAAUGGGCGAAAGCCUGACGCAGCCAUGCCGCGUGAAUGAUGAAGGUCUUAGGAUUGUAAAAUUCCUUCACCGGGGACGAUAAUGACGGUACCCGGAGAAGAAGCCCCGGCUAACUUCGUG